UACGUAGGGGGCAAGCGUUGUCCGGAUUUAUUGGGCGUAAAGAGCGUGUAGGCGACCUGAAAGGUCAGCUGUGAAAACUCGAGGCUCAACCUCGAGACGUCGGUUGAAACCAUCUGGCUAGAGUCCGGAAGAGGAGUGUGGAAUUCCCGGUGUAGCGGUGAAAUGCGCAGAUAUCAGGAGGAACACCGGUGGCGAAGGCGGAUCUCUGGGCCGAUACUGACGCUGAGGAGCGAAAGCGUGGGGAGCGAACAGG
rnacentral:rRNA from 1 species